rnacentral:tmRNA from 1 species
GGGGGUGUAAAGGUUUCGACGGGGAGUCUGAAGCGCGAUAAGCGAGCGGAGUACGGCGUGACCUCCAUAACCGUCGCCACGUUUAAAUAUAAACGCAAGAAAUAACAUUACAGUUUCUAGAAAUAGCGAACUGGUAGCUGCUUAAGUCAGCUUCUGUCCACCGGGUGAGUACCGCGGCUCCCGCUUGGGCAUCGAUCAGCGGUGAACGGAUCUGAGGAGUGUCCGUGCCUCAGUUCUGUAUACGGACUACUCUGUCCUUCAGCCCGUUUAUCGGCGGUCGGGCAGGGGAAUCAUAAUAGGUAGAAUACGCUCGUAGAAAGUUACGUGGAUGGCUUUUCGGACAGGAGUUCAAUUCUCCUCACCUCCACCA